rnacentral:rRNA from 1 species
AUUACCGCGGCUGCUGGCACAGAGUUAGCCGGUGCUUAUUCUGCAGCUAAUGUCAUCGUCCAUGGGUAUUAACCAUGGAGUCUUCUUCACUACUUAAAGUGCUUUACAACCAAAAGGCCUUCUUCACACACGCGGCAUGGCUGGAUCAGGGUUGCCCCCAUUGUCCAAUAUUCCCCACUGCUGCCUCCCGUAGG